rnacentral:lncRNA from 1 species
UGGAGCAUCGGAACUGAGGAACCCAGCAUCGAGCUGGUGUGAGUGACCCUCUUGCAGUGCCACUGUGGCCUGUGGUUCCUUGCUCUGGCCUUGAAGCUCUGAGACCAGACUCACAUGCUCCAUUUGCUCUGACAGGCUCCCAAUGGGGCUAGACUCCCUGGAUCUCUGGAGUAGGCUGAAGGGAGGGACAGCCAGGAGCUCCCCUCAGGGUGGUGAGGCACAGUGGUGUUUGAUGCUGCCUCCUCUUUCUGGCCUGGCAGGGCAAAUGUCCUGCAUAGGACUGACUAGGGGACAGUCCUCCAUCCACUGAGGGAAUGCAGCCAAGAGUCAGAGCAUCAGAGCCAUGGGCAGCCACAGCUCGUGGUUUGCCCCACUCUCUUUCAAAGCACUACACUGAUUUGCUACUCCCUCCUCGUGCCCUCCGUGCCCUGGACAGGAAGGGGUUAAUGGUCUUUAUUUGCUAAAGGAAAGCCAUUUAAUCAGGAUUCAGACCCAAAGGGAAGGCAUGUGCUUACCUCUAUCAAGAAAGGUCUUCACCAUGACCAGGGCCUCCCCUCCCUCUCCAGAUCUGAACAGUAAUUUAACACAGUUGCCUGAAAAAUACUUGUUUUUAUAAAUCAUUAUAGUAAUAAUUAUGGACAAGG